AUCCGGCUGACGAGUCGCAAAUAGAACGAAACGUGAGUCCUAGAU
rnacentral:hammerhead_ribozyme from 1 species